UACAGAGGUGGCAAGCGUUGUUCGGAAUUACUGGGCGUAAAGGGCGCGUAGGCGGCUUUUUAAGUCAGACGUGAAAUCCCCCGGCUUAACCUGGGAACUGCGUCUGAUACUGGGAAGCUUGAGUUCGGGAGAGGGAUGUAGAAUUCCAGGUGUAGCGGUGAAAUGCGUAGAUAUCUGGAGGAAUACCGGUGGCGAAGGCGGCAUCCUGGACCGAAACUGACGCUGAUGCGCGAAAGCGUGGGGAGCAAACGGG
rnacentral:rRNA from 1 species